CCUACGGGAGGCAGCAGGGAGGAAUAUUGGGCAAUGGACGAGAGUCUGAACCAGCCAAGUAGCGUGAAGGAUGACGGCCCGAUGGGUGGUAAACUUCAUUUAUACGGGAAGAAAACAGGGUAGGCAUACCCUCUUGUAUGUACCAUAUGAAUAAGGAUCGGCUAACGCCGUGCCAGCAGCCGCGGUAAUACGGAGGAUCCGAGCGUUAUCCGGAUUUAUUGGGUUUAAAGGGAGCGUAGGUGGCUUGUUAAGUCAGUUGUGACAGUUUGCGGCUCAACCGUAAAAUUGCCGGUCAAACUGGCAGUCUUGAGUACCGUCGAGGUUGGCGGAAUUCGUGGUGUAGCGGU
rnacentral:rRNA from 1 species